rnacentral:rRNA from 1 species
UACGUAGGGUGCGAGCGUUGUCCGGGAUUAUUGGGCGUAAAGGGCUCGUAGGCGGUCUGUUGCGUCGGGAGUGAAAACUCAGGGCUUAACCCUGAGCCUGCUUCCGAUACGGGCAGACUAGAGGUAUGCAGGGGAGAACGGAAUUCCUGGUGUAGCGGUGAAAUGCGCAGAUAUCAGGAGGAACACCGGUGGCGAAGGCGGUUCUCUGGGCAUUACCUGACGCUGAGGAGCGAAAGUGUGGGGAGCGAACAGG